CCUGAGAAACCCAAAAGAUCGAAUGGGGAGACUCAUCGUCAGCUACUUUGGCUUACGUGCGGUGCGCGAUGAUCGGGAUCUUGAUCUUGUUUCACGCGUCCGCUGCGUCAUGUUCGAGGUGGUCGGCGUGCACUUCUCCCCUAGUAGGACGUCGCGACCCGUUGGGUGCUGGUCUACGGCCCGGUCGCAAGUCUGACGUGUCGCGUUUACGCGCGUUCGCGUCAGACGACCGGUUGCUCGGCCAGCUGCUCGGCGGUAUUGAACGAUCAUUAAUUGGUAUUGGGCCGCAUUAAGUGCGUUCAGGCUCGUUGGCAGGCUCGCCUCGCUCGGAUUUAUGGACCUAGUGCCGUUGCCGAGUGCUUGGUGUGGCUGUUGGCCGAUGAUGUCCUCGGACUGGCUCUUUAUAUUCGAACGGAUAUACCGGUCGGCGACGCUACUGCUUUGGGUACUUUCAGGAC
rnacentral:rRNA from 1 species